rnacentral:rRNA from 1 species
UACGUAGGGCGCAAGCGUUGUCCGGAAUUAUUGGGCGUAAAGAGCUCGUAGGCGGUCUGUUGCGUCCGCUGUGAAAACUCGGGGCUUAACCCCGAGCCUGCAGUGGAUACGGGCAGACUAGAGGUAGGUAGGGGAGAAUGGAAUUCCCGGUGUAGCGGUGAAAUGCGCAGAUAUCGGGAGGAACACCGGUGGCGAAGGGCGGUUCUCUGGGCCUUACCUGACGCUGAGGAGCGAAAGCCGUGGGGAGCGAACAGGAUUAGAUACCCGUU